UGUCGGCUCAUCGCAUCCUGGGGCUGGAGCAGGUCCCAAGGGUAUGGCUGUUCGCCAUUUAAAGCGGUACGUGAGUUGGGUUCAGAACGUCGUGAGACAGUUCGGUCCCUAUCUGCCGUGGGUGUAGGAAUAUUGACAGGAUCUGUCCCUAGUACGAGAGGACCGGGAUGGACGUAUCUCUGGUGGACCUGUUGUGGCGCCAGCCGCAUAGCAGGGUAGCUAUAUACGGACGGGAUAACCGCUGAAGGCAUCUAAGCGGGAAACCCACCUGAAAACGAGUAUUCCCUUGAGAGCCGUGGAAGACCACCACGUUGAUAGGCCGGGUGUGGAAGUGCGGCAACGCAUGAAGCUUACCGGUACUAAUAGCUCGAUUGGCUUGAUCAU
rnacentral:rRNA from 1 species